AUUGAACGCUGGCGGCAGGCCUAACACAUGCAAGUCGAGCGAGCGGCGGACGGGUGAGUAAUGUAUGGGGACUGCCCGAUAGAGGGGGAUAACUACUGGACACGGUAGCUAAUACCGCAUACUAUCGGAUAACCCAUAUGGGAUUAGCUCGUAGGUGAGGUAAUGGCUCACCUAGGCGACGAUCCCUAGCUGGUCUGAGAGGAUGAUCAGCCACCCUGGGACUGAGACACGGACCAGACGCCUACGGAGGCAGCAGGGGGGAAUAUUGCACAAUGGGCGCAAGCCUGAUGCAGCCAUGCCGCGAGUAUGAAGAAGGCCCUAGGGUUGUAAAGUACUUUUGGCAGAGAAGCGGUAUCUGCAGAAUAAGCACCGGCUAACUACGUGCCAGCCGCCGCGGUAAUAC
rnacentral:rRNA from 1 species